rnacentral:rRNA from 1 species
GUGCCAGCAGCCGCGGUAAUACGUAGGUGGCAAGCGUUGUCCGGAUUUAUUGGGUUUAAAGGGUGCGUAGGCGGUCCUAUAAGUCAGUGCUGAAAUAUCCCGGCUUAACCGGGAGGGUGGCAUUGAUACUGCAGGACUUGAGUAGAGUUGAGGUUGGCGGAAUUGACGGUGUAGCGGUGAAAUGCUUAGAUAUCGUCAAGAACACCGAUAGUGUAGACAGCUAACUAAGCUCAAACUGACGCUGAGGCACGAAAGUGUGGGGAUCAAACAGGAUUAGAAACCCCCGUAGUCC